AUGCUUCGGCAGCAUGUACACUAAAACUGGAAUGAUACAGAGAAGAUUAGCAUGAUCCUUACACAGGGAACACAAAAAUUCCCUGUGUAAUUUUUAUAUAUUAG
ensembl:snRNA U6 U6 spliceosomal RNA